UACAGAGGGUGCAAGCGUUGUUCGGAAUUACUGGGCGUAAAGCGCACGUAGUCGGCUUUGCAAGUCGGGUGUGAAAUCCCCGGGCUCAACCUGGGAACUGCAUCCGAGACUGCAUUGCUAGAGUAUGGGAGAGGGAAGCGGAAUUUCUGGUGUAGCAGUGAAAUGCGUAGAUAUCAGAAGGAACAUCAGUGGCGAAGGCGGCUUCCUGGACCAAUACUGACGAUCAGGUGCGAAAGCGUGGGGAGCAAACAGG
rnacentral:rRNA from 1 species